rnacentral:rRNA from 2 species
ACGAACGCUGGCGGCAGGCUUAACACAUGCAAGUCGAGCGCCCCGCAAGGGGAGCGGCAGACGGGUGAGUAACGCGUGGGAAUCUACCUUUUGCUACGGAAUAACGCAGGGAAACUUGUGCUAAUACCGUAUGUGUCCUUCGGGAGAAAGAUUUAUCGGCAAGAGAUGAGCCCGCGUUGGAUUAGCUAGUUGGUGGGGUAAAGGCCUACCAAGGCGACGAUCCAUAGCUGGUCUGAGAGGAUGAUCAGCCACAUUGGGACUGAGACACGGCCCAAACUCCUACGGGAGGCAGCAGUGGGGAAUAUUGGACAAUGGGCGCAAGCCUGAUCCAGCCAUGCCGCGUGAGUGAUGAAGGCCCUAGGGUUGUAAAGCUCUUUCACCGGAGAAGAUAAUGACGGUAUCCGGAGAAGAAGCCCCGGCUAACUUCGUGCCAGCCGCCGCGGUAA